CUAGAGGCCUUCAGAUGAAGAUGUUGAACUCUCAGUUCUUCCUGCACCAUGCCUGCCUGGAUGCUGUCAUGCUCCUGCCUUGAUGAAAAUGAACUGAACCUCUGAACUUCAUACUAUGCCAAGAAAAUGCAGGCCUUUGGUCAGUAUCCCACUGAGAGCCCUCCUUCGUACCAGUGGACAUCACUUGUUUUUAGGGGCUAUGCAAAGCUACUAAUACCAAUUUCUAAGUGAGUAGGGCAUAUUUCCAUUAUAUUUCUUCAUUCGAAAUGCUAAAUAAAAU
rnacentral:lncRNA from 1 species